AGUGAACGCUGGCGGUAGGCCUAACACAUGCAAGUCGAACGGCAGCACAGUAAGAGCUUGCUCUUACGGGUGGCGAGUGGCGGACGGGUGAGGAAUACAUCGGAAUCUACUUUUUCGUGGGGGAUAACGUAGGGAAACUUACGCUAAUACCGCAUACGACCUACGGGUGAAAGCAGGGGAUCUUCGGACCUUGCGCGAUUGAAUGAGCCGAUGUCGGAUUAGCUAGUUGGCGAGGUAAAGGCCCACCAGGGCGACGAUCCGUAGCUGGUCUGAGAGGAUGAUCAGCCACACUGGAACUGAGACACGGUCCAGACUCCUACGGGAGGCAGCAGUGGGGAAUAUUGGACAAUGGGCGCAAGCCUGAUCCAGCCAUACCGCGUGGGUGAAGAAGGCCUUCGGGUUGUAAAGCCCUUUUGUUGGGAAAGAAAAGCAGCAGGUUAAUACCCCGCUGUUCUGACGGUACCCAAAGAAUAAGCACCGGCUAACUUCGUG
rnacentral:rRNA from 1 species